CUAAGGCCCCUAAAUGACCGCUCAGUGAUGAAGGAAGUAUGAGUGAAAAGACAAUGAGGAGGUUUUCCUAGAAGCAUCAAACCUUGAAAGAGUGCGUAAUAUCAUUGAUCAAGCGCUCUUGCACCGAAGAUGAACGAGACUAAGCAAUCCGCCAAAGUUGUGGGAUGUAAAAAUACAUCGGUAGGGGAGUGUUCCGCCUCAGAGGGAAGCACCGGUGCAUGCAGGUGUGGACAAAGAAGAAGCGAGAAUGUCGGCUUGAGUAAUGCAAACAUUGGUAAGAAUCCAAUGCCCCAAAAACCUAAGGGUUCCUCCGCAAGGUUCAUCCACGGAGGGUGAUUUAGGGCCUAAGAUCAGGUUGAAAGGCAUAGUCGAUGGAAAAUAGGUUAAUAUUCUUGUACUACCCCUUGUUGGUCCCGAGGGACAGAGGAGGCUAGGUUAGCCAAAAGAUGGUUAUCGGUUCAAGGACACAAGGUGACCCUCUAUAAAUUGAUUCAAAGGUAAAAGAAGAAUCAAAUAUAGGUGUGUACAAGGUGAAGUUGGGGUGGAUAUUCCUCAUCAUCUACUCUAGCACACAAAAAUCCAAGCUGGCUUAUCCAA
rnacentral:ncRNA from 1 species